rnacentral:rRNA from 1 species
GACGGUACUUGAUGAAUAAGCCACGGCUAAUUCCGUGCCAGCAGCCGCGGUAAUACGGGAGUGGCAAGCGUUAUCCGGAAUUAUUGGGCGUAAAGCGUCCGCAGGCGGCCCAACAAGUCUGCUGUUAAAAAGUGGAGCUUAACUCCAUCAUGGCAGUGGAAACUGUUGGGCUCGAGUGUGGUAGGGGCAGAGGGAAUUCCCGGUGUAGCGGUGAAAUGCGUAGGUAUCGGGAAGAACACCAGUGGCGAAGGCGCUCUGCUGGGCCAUCACUGACGCUCAUGGACGAAAGCCAGGGGAGCGAAAGGGAUUAGAUACCCCUGUAGUCCUGGCCGUAAACGAUGAACACUAGGUGUCGGGGGAAUCGACCCCUCCGGUGUCGUAGCCAACGCGUUAAGUGUUCCGCCUGGGGAGUACGCACGCAAGUGUGAAACUCAAAGGAAUUGACGGGGGCCCGCACAAGCGGUGGAGUAUGUGGUUUAAUUCGAUGCAACGCGAAGAACCUUACCAGGGUUUGACAUCCUGCGAAUCUCUUGGAAACUUGAGAGUGCCUUCGGGAGCGCAGUGACAGGUGGUGCAUGGCUGUCGUCAGCUCGUGUCGUGAGAUGUUGGGUUAAGUCCCGCAACGAGCGCAACCCACGUCUUUAGUUGCCAGCAUUUAGUUGGGCACUCUAGAGAGACCGCCGGUGAUAAACCGGAGGAAGGUGUGGAUGACGUCAAGUCAUCAUGCCCCUUACAUCCUGGGCUACACACGUACUACAAUGCUACGGACAAAGGGCAGCAAGUUCGCGAGGACAAGCAAAUCCCAUAAACCGUGGCUCAGUUCAGAUCGUAGGCUGCAACUCGCCUACGUGAAGGAGGAAUCGCUAGUAAUCGCAGGUCGGCAUACUGCGGUGAAUACGUUCCCGGGCCUUGUACACACCGCCCGUCACACCAUGGAAGUUGGCCACGCCCGAAGCCGUUACUCCAACCCUUGUGGAGGAGGACGUCGAAGGUGGGGCUGAUGACUGGGGUG